CGACUUUGAAUCUUAUUGUAAUUCCGACCCAAUUUUCUGGGUAUCCAAUAGGAAACGCUGGUGUUGCGAGAUUAAGGGGAAGGGAAAACCGGCAAAUUAGACCACGAAUCUGUACUAAUGCUUUCUGUUUAUAAGCAGAAGCUCAAACAGGAAGUACCCGUGACUUGCUUCUUUGAGAAAUUGACAUCAUAAUCAGAGAUUAUGCUACAGGACUGCUUUGCUAGCGCUGAUUGGAAUAUGUUCCGAGACGCCGAUGACAACAUCGAGUUAACCACCUCCUUCACUGACUUCAUUUGGAAAUGCAUCGGUGACAUUAUCUCCACAGUGAUGGUUCGCUGCUUCCCCAAUCAAAAGCCUUGGAUUAACACAGAGGUUGGCGCUAAACUAAGGGCCAUCGCAGACAACUCUGAGGCUACGGCUGAGGACAGGAACAAGUACAAGAAGUUUCGCUAUGACAUCUGCAGCAUCAAACGAGCAAAAGGACAAUAUAACAAUAAGGUGGAAUCGUAUUACAUAGGUGCCGAUGCCCCCCACCGGUAUGUGGCAGGGGCUACAUUCCAUUACGUAUUACCACGGAAGACCCAGCCAUGAUCUGCCUAACUAUGCCGCUCUACCAGCCGACAAUAAAACUGUCACGCGUCAUUUCAAUCUCUCCUUGUCCCAGUCUGUAAUCCUCCCAUGUCUUAAGCUGACCACCAUCAUUCCUGUUCCCAAGAACUUUAAGGCUUCAUGCCACAAUGACUACCGCCCUGUAGCACUCACAUCUGUAAUCAUAAGGCACUUUGAAAGGCUGGUUAUGCCAUACGUCAACCGCAUCAUCUCAGACACCCUAGACCCACUCCAAUUUUCAUACCACCCCAACAGAUCCAUAGACGACGCAAUCUCAGUUGCACUCCACACUGCCCUGACCCACCUAGAAAAGAGGAAUACCUAUGUAAGAAUGCUGUUCAUUGACUACAGCUAAGCAUUCAACACCCUUGUCCCCUCCAAGCUUGUCACCAAGUUUAGGACCCUGGUACGCCCUCUGCAACUGGAUCCUGGACUUCCUGAUGGGCCGAGCCCAGGUGGUGAGGGUAGUCAGCAUCACCUCCGCCACGCUGACCCUCCUGUAAUCCCCUGUUCACCCACGACUGCUGGCUACGCACGACUCAAGCACCAGCAUCAAGGUAAGUACAAAACCUGGUGGAGUUGUUGUUCAGCAGCGUCGUGGGAACCCCCCUACCAUAUCAGAAGCUGUUUCAGAAGGCUGAGGCAGUGGCCAUACACCAGUUCUGCUUCAGAGUAAUGGAGGAUACUUGAAUCAGGAGGUGACACCUCCAUUGUGCCAAUGGACUAUUCCUGGGCUCGAGAGCUGGGCCGGAUAUAGGAGCCGAAUUUGGGCUCCUUCAUGACCAGUAUCUGUGAUGAGAGGAGCCUGGAGAUGAUCUACAC
rnacentral:lncRNA from 1 species